UACGAAGGGUGCAAACGUUGCUCGGAAUUAUUGGGCGUAAAGCGCACGUAGGCGGUAUUGCAAGUCGGAUGUGAAAUCCCUCGGCUCAACCAAGGAAGUGCAUCCGAAACUGCCGUACUUGAGUACGAAAGAGGAUCGCGGAAUUCCCGGUGUAGAGGUGAAAUUCGUAGAUAUCGGGAGGAACACCAGUGGCGAAGGCGGGUCUCUGGGCCGAUACUGACGCUGAGGAGCGAAAGCGUGGGGAGCGAACAGG
rnacentral:rRNA from 1 species